UUUCUGCUUUACAAUAUUUAAUCCCGUUAUUUUCGCUGUUUCAAAUACGCUGCCACAAUUUCAGUGGUUUAAAAUACGGUCCGAAAUUCAACCCUCUACAUCGAGGACUAGCAGGAUGAGCGAUAGACUGCCGAUAGAGUUCUCAGAGCUCACCCGAUAAAUCUAACGGACCAACUAAUACUCUUUUUGCUCUUUACAGCUUUUCAAAUGGAAGGAAGUGGAACUCCCGAAACACUUGUUACAGUGUUCCUAGAUGGCAGGGAGAUUUGUAGGAAGAUUCAUCAACUGAACACCGUGGCAGAAAUUCCUGAUGUCUGUAAAACAUCGUUGAACUCUAAUGCAGAAUGUGAUAGACUUCUAAAAUUUAACACGGAUUUGAACGAAUUCAUUGACACCGACAUCAAUGGAAAUGUCCAGAAUUUGGACAAAUAUAACAUUUUGUUCAAGUCAAUCAAGCCAAAUGACCCACGGAAGGAGCUGGUAUGUAUGUUUAUACUAAGUCUCUUUGUGCCAUUCUGAUUAUGUUAUUGACCUGCUUAAAAGCAGUCGGGUGGAAAUUAAUUUGACACAGUCCAUGGUGCUUUUCAUACUAGCCCUGGAUAUUUACCCACAAAACAAUGCACUGUGUACUCCUGUCUGUACAAGUUGACCGAGGCUUACUGAAAGCUUACUCAAAUCAUCUACAUAGUGUUCACUGUGAAGUAACUUUCAGUGAGCCUCAGUCAAGGUGUCCCAACAGGAGUUUGAUUCCUUUGACUUUGGUGCAGCUGUAAACACAUUUUUAAUGAUUGCUCAGAUGAUUUUUAAUGAUUGUCAGAGAUUGAACAGAUGUUUCUGUUCAAUCUCUGACAUGUUUCUUUUUAAGGCUCAACCAUCCUGUGGCCUAUGAUGUCAUCUACUUAGAUUUCCAAAAGGCUUUUGAUGUUGUCCCCCACAAGAGGCUCUUACUUAAACUCAAAGCAACAGGCUGAACAGCAGAGUACUGGUGCAGCUUGUCCAGGUGGUCAACUGGAGAAUGGUCAAGGACAGAUUGAUGGUGCACAUAUAUUUAAUGCAGACAGUCUGAGAGACGACAAGUUAGGAACACUCUCUGUGACAUCCAGAAGACUUCUGGUGAAGAUAGGUGUGAGCAAUCUGGUGGAGCGAAAGGGAUUGUGAGUUCAUCCUUCAGGGAGUUCAGGGAAGUAAAUAUGAUGGUUUAAAGUUAUUUAUUUAUUUGACUGCUCUGUGGUGAACCUGACUACUCGAGAAUGAAUUGCGAACUGGGUAUAGGGUUGUUUUUUUGGUGGCCUCAAGAUUCUUCAUUUUACUUUCAGUUACCCUUCAAAUGUUGACAAACAGAUGCUGGCUAAAAGCAUAAUGGCAGUCUUCCCAUCACUGAAGAUGAAGUUACGAGAAGAGAAUGAAGGAUUUGAGCACUUCUAUGAUCCAGUGUCCCACUGUGGAUUCAUUGAGCUGAAACUGAGGAACCUACGGAGAACCCUUCAUGAUGAUCAGCGACGUUAUCGCAAGCGGGGGAGGUCCAGUGAUUCCUCAGGAGUUAUUAUUACAUUGGAGCCACUUGCAGAAGGGGAAGAAGAGUCCAUUAAGGAGUGGGUUACUGUCACCAAAAGGUUGAGACCAUCUCCUGAGAACCUUGCAUCUAUCAAAAUGGGCAUGGAGAAAACCUUCACCAGCCGAAGGCUCUGGAUCACAAGCAAGUCACCAACGGUGACUGAUAUUUUUCAGCAGUACCCUCGCUUUGUAGACCUGCCGUACUUGUUGGAUGAAGAGUUUGGGAAAAUUUAUCCAGGGAAGAAAGACCUCUUCCUUCGGAAAUGGGAAGGAUAUAUUGUUCCAAAACUACUCAAAGUGGCUACACUUGAAAAUGAAACCAGUGUCCAUCCAGAUGAGGAGAGUGAUGUCACGUUGCUUCAGAGCCCUUCAGCUGCUCACACAUUAUCUACCUCCUACUUCGUCAGGGAGGGCCAAAGGAUGAACCAGAUGCAGUGUAAAAUCUGCCCUAUCUUACAUCUUGGACAUGAAACCGACUGGAAAGAGCAUCCACAGCCUUUUAGAGGCAUCUCCUGAGGCAGCAGUGGGAGUCCACUAGCCCAAGCUUGUGUGUUUGGGCCACCCCAGUACAACAGCUCAGUACAUCAUUGUGGCACAGAAUGACAAAGUUGCCAUCCCACUUCAA